rnacentral:rRNA from 1 species
AUACGGAGGAUGCGAGCGUUAUCCGGAUUUAUUGGGUUUAAAGGGAGCGUAGGUGGGAUAUUAAGUCAGCUGUGAAAGUUUGGGGCUCAACCUUAAAAUUGCAGUUGAUACUGGUUUCCUUGAGUACGGUACAGGUGGGCGGAAUUCGUGGUGUAGCGGUGAAAUGCUUAGAUAUCACGAAGAACUCCGAUCGCGAAGGCAGCUCACCGGGCCGGAACUGACACUGAUGCUCGAAAGUGCGGGUAUCAAACAGGAUUAGAUACCCUGGUAGUCCACACAGUAAACGAUGAAUACUCGCUGUUUGCGAUAUACAGUAAGCGGCCAAGCGAAAGCAUUAAGUAUUCCACCUGGGGAGUACGCCGGCAACGGUGAAACUCAAAGGAAUUGACGGGG